CCUACGGGUGGCAGCAGUCGAGAAUCAUUCACAAUGGGCGAAACCCUGAUGGUGCGACGCCGCGUGGGGGAAUGAAGGUCUUCGGAUUGUAAACCCCUGUCAUGUGGGAGCAAAUUAAAAAGAUAGUACCACAAGAGGAAGAGACGGCAAACUCUGUGCCAGCAGCCGCGGUAAUACAGAGGUCUCAAGCGUUGUUCGGAAUCACUGGGCGUAAAGCGUGCGUAGGCUGUUGCGUAAGUCGUGUGUGAAAGGCGCGGGCUCAACCCGCGGACGGCACAUGAUACUGCGAGACUAGAGUAAGGGAGGGGGAACCGGAAUUCUCGGUGUAGCAGUGAAAUGCGUAGAUAUCGAGAGGAACACUCGUGGCGAAGGCGGGUUCCUGGACAUUAACUGACGCUGAGGCACGAAGGCCAGGGGAGCGAAAGGGAUUAGAUACCCGGGUAGUC
rnacentral:rRNA from 1 species